GCUGCCUACGUCAUCAAGCUUAGUUUAUUUCAGUUAAACAUUAAUUAAGUUUGCAAGUCAUAAACAUAUUACAACAAUUUACGAUAAACUAAGUAUAACAGUACAUUUUAUAAUUGUUAAUAUUCUGAAACAAUACAGUCUUUAUGACGUAUGCAGCCUGCAAAUGCGACCUCCGAAGGAUGCAGUCUUCCGUUUGAGAAACGAGGACUUCGACGUGGCGUUUAUCGGAUUCUGCAAACAAUGGCACGAGGCCGGGAUUAAGCAGAUUUGAAGCGAAAGUAGCCUAUUUGCUAUAAUACAUACUAGAGCAUUCGGUCAAUAGGCCUGUCAUCAUCUCAUUUUGACGGAGGUGACUACACUACAAUCAAAAGUUCUUUCAUGUGUUGGUGUGUGCUGUGAAGUCUGAUGGGGGACAUGUGCUAGCGUGAAUAGGUCAUGACCGGGAAGGUCAUCAUUAUGCUGCGUGGGGUGAUGCUGUCUGUCCUAAGCUUUCACACUUAACCCUCAAUACACAGGGGCUGUUAACUCCUCAGCACAUACAGACCAAGGUCAUGUUCAGAUAUUAAGAUGAUUAUGACUGGAACAGACAGCUUUGGAAUCCAGAAGAGCAUGAGACCUUCAUGCGGGGAUGAGCCACCUCCGAGAUCAAUGUCUGCAUUUUGUUGAUCAAGGACUGCAGAUCCACCAUGCAAGAUGCAUUUUGUUUGCUAAAUAAUUAUCUGAAGUCUCUAUUCAUUUGCAGAUUUUUCACACAAAAACAGAACGCAUGAUAAUGACGUUGUAUGGUUGAAUAACGUUUCUAGUCUUUAUUUGGCACAAUUGGUGAUUAAUGCAGCAUGAUCGCUUCUGGUGUUUCUCCAUUUUUGGAUUGAUUCUUUGUCGCUUAUUUGUUUAAAAUGCCAUUUACCACUAAACAGAGUGCAAAAGAGUUCAUUAAAUAUUUCUGACUCUACAAACUUCUGGAAAAUAUCUGUAUUCAUACAAAGGCCAUGAAGCUCAUAUUAUUUAAUUUCCAAAAUUAACUUCUUUACCAUGGGUUACAUUUAGUUUUUAUAUAUCAGUAACUCUGCAAAUAACUUCACAUUACUACUUUACAUUAUGUUUGUGCUUUUAGCUCAAUUAAAAACAAAUACUUAAAAAUAUACCGCCUUUAUGCGUU